AGUGAACGCUGGCGGUAGGCCUAACACAUGCAAGUCGAACGGCAGCACAGGAGAGCUUGCUCUCUAGGUGGCGAGUGGCGGACGGGUGAGGAAUACAUCGGAAUCUGCCCAGUCGUGGGGGAUAACGUAGGGAAACUUACGCUAAUACCGCAUACGACCUUCGGGUGAAAGAGGGGGAUCGCAAGACCUCUCGCGAUUGGAUGAGCCGAUGUCGGAUUAGCUAGUUAGCGGGGUAAUGGCCCACCAAGGCGACGAUCCGUAGCUGGUCUGAGAGGAUGAUCAGCCACACUGGAACUGAGACACGAUCCAGACUCCUACGGGAGGCAGCAGUGGGGAAUAUUGGACAAUGGGCGCAAGCCUGAUCCAGCCAUACCGCGUGGGUGAAGAAGGCCUUCGGGUUGUAAAGCCCUUUUGUUGGGAAAGAAAUCUUUCAGGCUAAUACCCUGGGAGGAUGACGGUACCCAAAGAAUAAGCACCGGCUAACUUCGUG
rnacentral:rRNA from 1 species